rnacentral:rRNA from 1 species
UCCAGACUCCUACGGGAGGCAGCAGUGGGGAAUAUUGCACAAUGGGGGAAACCCUGAUGCAGCGACGCCGCGUGGGCGACGAAGCGCUCCGGCGCGUAAAGCCCUGUCAGCAGGGAAGAACAAAGACAGUACCUGACCAAGAAGCCCCGGCUAACUACGUGCCAGCAGCCGCGGUAAUACGUAGGGGGCAAGCGUUAUCCGGAUUUACUGGGUGUAAAGGGAGCGUAGACGGCAGCGCAAGUCUGAAGUGAAAUGCCGGGGCUUAACCCCGGAACUGCUUUGGAAACUGAGCAGCUAGAGUGCAGGAGAGGUAAGUGGAAUUCCUAGUGUAGCGGUGAAAUGCGUAGAUAUUAGGAGGAACACCAGUGGCGAAGGCGGCUUACUGGACUGUAACUGACGUUGAGGCUCGAAAGCGUGGGGAGCAAACAGGAUUAGAUACCCCAGUAUG